CAUUCUUCCAGCAAGUCUCGCCAGCUCCGUACGGCAAAGUUCGACACCGGACAUAGCUCAAAUGAAAGGUAAUGAAUCAGAGCAGGACCCACUGAAAUGAUUUUUUGGGGGUUAGGACCUUCUGGAAAUUGAAGGGGUUCAAAGUUGGUAUUAUUUUUUUUUUACGUUUCCACCGUACAUUCUUUCUGCAAGUCUCGCCAGCUCAGUACGGCAAAGUUCGACACCGGACAUAGCUCAAAUGAAAGGUAAUGAAUCAGAGCAGGACCCACUGAAAUGAUUUUUUGGGGGUUAGGACCUUCUGGGAAUUGAAGGGGUUCAAAGUUGGUAUUUUUUUUUUUUUACGUUUCCACCGUACAUUCUUUCGGCAAGUCUCGCCAGCUCCGUACGGCAAAGUUCGUCACCGGACAUAACUCAAAUGAAAGGUAAUGAAUCAGAGCAGGACCCACUGAAAUGAUUUUUUGGGGGUUAGGACCUUCUGGGAAUUGAAGGGGUUCAAAGUUGGUAUUAUUUUUUUUUUACGUUUCCACCGUACAUUCUUCCGGCAAGUCUCGCCAGCUCCGUACGGCAAAGUUCGACACCGGACAUAGCUCAAAUGAAAGGUAAUGAAUCAGAGCAGGACCCACUGAAAUGAUUUUUUGGGGGUUAGGAUCUUCUGGGAAUUGAAGGGGUUCAAAUUUGGUAUUUUUUUUUUUUUACGUUUCCACCGUACAUUCUUUCGGCAAGUCUCGCCAGCUCCGUACGGCAAAGUUCGUCACCGGACAUAGCUCAAAUGAAAGGUAAUGAAUCAGAGCAGGACCCACUGAAAUGAUUUUUCGGGGGUUAGGACCUUCUGGGAAUUGAAGGGGUUCAAAGUUGGUAUUAUUUUUUUUUUUACGUUUCAACCGUACAUUCUUCCAGCAAGUCUCGCCAGCUCCGUACGGCAAAGUUCGACACCGGACAUAGCUCAAAUGAAAGGUAAUGAAUCAGAGCAGGACCCACUGAAAUGAUUUUUUGGGGGUUAGGACCUUCUGGAAAUUGAAGGGGUUCAAAGUUGGUAUUAUUUUUUUUUUACGUUUCCACCGUACAUUCUUUCUGCAAGUCUCGCCAGCUCAGUACGGCAAAGUUCGACACCGGACAUAGCUCAAAUGAAAGGUAAUGAAUCAGAGCAGGACCCACUGAAAUGAUUUUUUGGGGGUUAGGACCUUCUGGGAAUUGAAGGGGUUCAAAUUUGGUAUUUUUUUUUUUUUACGUUUCCACCGUACAUUCUUUCGGCAAGUCUCGCCAGCUCCGUACGGCAAAGUUCGUCACCGGACAUAGCUCAAAUGAAAGGUAAUGAAUCAGAGCAGGACCCACUGAAAUGAUUUUUUGGGGGUUAGGACCUUCUGGGAAUUGAAGGGGUUCAAAGUUGGUAUUAUUUUUUUUUUUACGUUUCCACCGUACAUUCUUC